GAGCCCUCUCCCUCGCUUGCCCUUUCUCGCUGCUCUCUCAGCUAUCCACGCGUGCUCUCAGCGCUCUCUUCCUCUCAAGUAUCACCUCCCAUACAAUCCACACAGACCCACAACAUGGAGACCGAGGUAGCCAGUGGGCGUUUGGGGGCCAGGGACGGCCUCCUCGGCGCUGCCCUGCUGAGCGAUCCGGCCGCCAACGCAGAGGACGAGCAGAACGAAGAGACGUGUCAGGUUUUGAUCCCGCCAAACAUGAGCAUGGGCGCCGAUGACGAGGAGGUCUGCGGCGUCUGCCUCGAGCCGCCGCCGGCUGGCUGCUUUGUAGAGCUGUGGUGCUGCGGCAACAUCCUGUGCGUGGCGGAUGCGCAGCAGCUGGGCAAGUGUCCCUUCUGCCGCGAGGAGCCACUGGUGUGGAACAUCACGAAGUGAUGCGUAUUCAUGCUCGCACCCCUUUCACGUCGGCUACUAAAGGGAUGAAAGUCGCGUAUAAUCGAUCAAUGCCACCAGCAGCACCUCAGUUGUGUCUCCCCUUGCCAUGCAUAUUUCGAAGCGAUGGCAACGACGACACACACGCACACCUCCCCCUCUUCCACCCACUGCCCUCACCUUCAUGCCGACAUCUACUGCCAUUCUCGGCCCAGCCAACGCACAGAAACGCACUGCAUAUGUGCAUGUGCAGAUAUGAGCAUCAGUGCCACUGCCUUGUUUUCGAUUCGCUCGCUCUCUUCCCAGCGCGUGAGUCGGUGUGAAUCGAGUAGCUGGGGAUAGGGUGGAAUGGGGUCGGUGUGGCGGCAUCUCUGCUUUCAUAGUGUGUGCGUGGUACGCUCUGCCCUCCCUUCCUCACACCCCAACGCCGCGACUUCUUUGGUUCGCACGCCCUCUUUUCACGUACGUGCACAUGCCCAUGCAGACAGGUGGAGCGAUAGAGACACGUACGAACGUUGCUGUGUACGGGCACACACACAUACAAUACACAUGCACGCACAUGUAUAUGUAUGUGUGUGUGUGUCCGUUUUAUCUUCCCAUUGUGCCCACCGACAUUUUUGUUUUUGUGUGCUUCCUCUUGCUUCGCCACCCGCUGUUUGGGGUCGAUUUGUUUGCUGGCAUUUGCCCCCCCUCCCUCUCUCCCCGAAAAGCGCCCCUGUGCGUCUCCGUUGUGCUUCCUCGUCUUCUCUUUUCGUUUGCUGCUACGCGCGUGCGACUCGUUGUCUUCGUGUACGUGUGGGGGUGUGGGGGGUCGUGGUAGCUGUUCUUGUUCGUCCAUGAUGCUCUGGACUCACGUUGGCGCUAAUAUGCGGCUUUUCCUCCCUCCUCCCUCAGCCACCACCACCCCACGUCAGUACACCUCUCCCUCUCUGUAUGCAGCCUCCACCUCACCAUCAUCGUUGCUGUCGUUGGUGUUGAAAAGGAAAGAGAGUAAUGAUGUGUUGGUGUGUAUGCGCGCAAGCGUGAAUGCGUUGAAGGAAGGGUGGGAAGGGAGCAGAGCGAGCCGUGCUUCUGUCCACCACGUGCUGGAGCCGAGCAUGGGGAGCCACGGCGGAUGUCUCACAUGGUUGCUGUUGCUCCCCCUUUCUGCGUUGCUUAUUCACUUGUGCGUCGACAGCUCUUGUUGUCUCGCUUCUUCGUUGCUCUCUCUCUACGUCGUGUGUCUGUGUGCUCCUCUGUACUACACCAACAAUG
rnacentral:misc_RNA from 1 species